rnacentral:rRNA from 1 species
GCCAGCAGCUAUCACUCUGCAACUCUUGUCUGGUUGCCCACUGAAGCUAAGCAGGGUUGAGCCUGGUCAGUUCCUGGAUGGGAGACCUCCUGGGGAAAACUAGGCUGCUGCUGGAA